GAUUGAACGCUGGCGGCAGGCUUAACACAUGCAAGUCGAGCGGGGGAAGGUAGCUUGCUACCGGACCUAGCGGCGGACGGGUGAGUAAUGCUUAGGAAUCUGCCUAUUAGUGGGGGACAACAUCUCGAAAGGGAUGCUAAUACCGCAUACGUCCUACGGGAGAAAGCAGGGGAUCUUCGGACCUUGCGCUAAUAGAUGAGCCUAAGUCGGAUUAGCUAGUUGGUGGGGUAAAGGCCUACCAAGGCGACGAUCUGUAGCGGGUCUGAGAGGAUGAUCCGCCACACUGGGACUGAGACACGGCCCAGACUCCUACGGGAGGCAGCAGUGGGGAAUAUUGGACAAUGGGGGGAACCCUGAUCCAGCCAUGCCGCGUGUGUGAAGAAGGCCUUAUGGUUGUAAAGCACUUUAAGCGAGGAGGAGGCUACUUUAGUUAAUACCUAGAGAUAGUGGACGUUACUCGCAGAAUAAGCACCGGCUAACUCU
rnacentral:rRNA from 1 species